AUAUUCUAAGUGAAACUGAGUCUUCAUACAGCUUUAUCAAAAAGUAUUAAGCACUAAUAAAAUAUGAGCUGACCUAAUUUAUAUUGAGGCUCUUGGGAAAUUUGCAGUUUUACAGUGCUCUCUGAUCUUAACCCUCACAAAGUCAGCAUCUAUGUGGUCAGGCAGGAAGGAGGCUGACCUAGUGGGCAGCAAUCAGAAUACUUGUUUUGCACUUGCUUUGGCUUGCCAUGUGUAUCCCCCCGCCCCCACUCCUGGAUGCAGUGUGCCUUUGGUGAGUCUACUCUCUGUGACCUCUGGUAUUUGGAAUGAAGAUUCAUAAAUGGAGAUAAGAGUCUUGGAGAGAAUGGUCCAGAAUCUAUUUGUCUUCAGCUAAGCUUCAGCUUUCAUUUAUAACUUCCGUUGGGAGGAGAAAGCAGGUAUUGUCUCUCAAAAAUAUAUUUGAAAGGAAGCUUCAUUAAUCAUCACAUGGCCAUUUCUUAGCCUUAGUCCCUAAGGUCUGGUAAGCUUUAAAUCCCUAGUGACACCUGCUGGGCAGACCUCUGCCCUCGCUGCAGCAUUCCAUCAGCCUGCCUCUUCUUUAACAUGCAAAGCUGCUGGCCAGGAGGUGCGGGGCUGGCUGCAGCCUCCUCAGCUGCUGGCCAGUCUGCUCACUGCUCAUGCAGGUGACCCUUGCCUGGGAAGCAGACUCUUAGGGGCCUUGACUUCCUACCUGCCUAGGCCUCAGGAGUCAAACACAGAGCUAGUAAGGCGAGGAUGGAAAGGAGUGCUGGGUAGGGGAGAGAGAGAGAGAGAGAGAGACAGACAGACAGACAGACAGACAGACAGACAGACAGACAGACACAGAGAGAAGAGAAAGAUCCAACAUUAGAUACCCGCUAGCCCAGCCCUAAGUUACUCAGCUGCUUCUUUGUCUGUAAACUCUGGGGUGAGCGAUGCCACUUCAGCCGUAUGUUUUGUUCAAGCACAAACCAAAUUAUGCUAUGCUUGCGUCUAUCUGAACAUAUUGGUUUAUCUUACAUAGAGUUUAAUUGAUGCAAACUUGAACUUCAGUAUGUUAGAUUUUCAGGGAAAACACCAUCCUGCAAUUUAGAUUGCUAUGUUUUUCUCUGAACAAAGAAAAAAAAAAAAGAGCAAGGCAAUUAGAACCCUGCUUCCUUUAUUUCGGCCACACUCUCCAACCACUACAAAAAAUCAUGUUUAACCUCUUGUAGAGUGACUUCUCCUGUCCUUUCCUGUCCAAUGGCAAAAUUUCUCUCUGAGCCAACAACAUCUGCAUCCUUGGACAGAUGUACUUAUGUGCAAAGUCCGUGUGAGCUGAUCAAGCACGGCUUUGUUUGCACUUAUUCACUGCUCACCCAGCACUGUGUAAGUGGUUUUGCAUAUUAACUAAGUGCACAGUAACCUUUCUUUACCUCCUUAGAGCUCCACCCCCUCCCACCCGCCGGGGAAAUCAACACUGUUACUCGCUGAGGAAGCUGCCAAGAGGUUGCCAUGGCAACGGUUCAGCUUUCAGCAGCUACUUUUCUGGUUUGAAGGGGAGGGAGAGAGGAGGAGAAAGAAAGCACCACACACCCAACAAACUGAGGAGAACUAGGCAGUUUUCUGAUCAGAGUUCAGAUAAGGAAGGUCACAGACAUUUGUGGGCACUGACUAAAAUAACCCCACGGAUGGGAGAGUUACCACAUAAGAAGCAAACUAAAAAGAACUGCAGCGCUGAGCAUCUGUGGAGACUUCUGCAGACUAUAUUUCAGGCUUUCGAGAGUGCGCGCUGCAUCAAAAUCCAACCAAUAGCAGGGGGGAGCCUUGCCCUCCCUAGCCUCCAUUUGUUUCCCCUACCUGAAGCAAGGGUGUGCUGCAGCUGCGAGGUGACCGCCCAGUGCCCUCCAGGCCCCUCCUGCUCUGCUCCAACUGCAAAAGCGUGAAGGCAAGCUUCAAAUGGUUUAAAGGAGAACCUUGCCAAAAUCAAGGCUGACUUCUGGCCACCCUCACAUGUUCAUUUCACUGGCAGGUGACCUCCAAGGGAAGGCGUGUCUGUAAAGGAUGAUUUGGUUUGGGAGGUUUUUAAUUUAAACCCAGCCGUUUAUUCUGCUGCCCCUGUGCAACGCGGGAACCGUCCUAAGAAGUAAGAAGGAACCAUACAGAGAUCCUGGGCUGCUGGACCCUCAGUGGCAGAAAGAGAGCCUCUGAAUUCUGUAGCUGUAAUUAUCGUUCCCAAAGUAAACCCAUUUCCGUGUGUAUAUUUGUAGAGGAUGAUUGGGAAAUAUGCACUGGAGAAAGAUCGCUAGUUCAAUCACAAAAAAUCAAUGGGUUAGAUACAGAGUGGAAAAGAAAGCGCUGAGUGGCACAUCACCUUUCUGUCCCUCAGUCCUUUCCCUCCAGAAAGAAAUACAGCUAUUGACAAUAGAUUCAGUGUGGGCUCUUUUGUUGGAGCAGCAGAAACUGAACUCUGGCUAGUUUCUUACUGAAAGCCUGUGAGGACAUUUACAGAAUAAAAGGAAGGCUGAAGAAACCCACUUACAGAGGACAGGCCAGCCUGUGUCGGGGUCUCUAUAGCAGACCCAGCAGCUAGCACCAUCAGUUGCCACUGCAAGUUGGAUGAUUGGUAGGUGUUUCUCUUAUCAUCCUCAAAUGGCCUGAGUCAGCAGGGUGUCCCUUUGUCAAUGGGCACCUGCCUAUAAGGUUUGGAAAAAGUCGAGUCCUCAAUUUGCUGAUUCACAGAGUCACCUGGAGGCUUCUAAAAGAACGGGGAGAAUGGAAGGUCUUUCUCCUCCAUUGACACCUUUACUGCUGUGGAUCGGACUGCUAUAAUCUUUCCUGGGUUGAUGGUUAUUCAUUCCCUUUCAUUAGUGUUCCUGUGGCUGGAACCCAGGGUCUCAUGGAUGCCAGGGAAGCACUCUACCUCUGAGCUACAUCCCCAACCCUCAUCUCCUUUCAAAAUGCAUCUUUGAGAGACAUGAAGACAGGACUUGAACUUGCAAACUUCCUGCCUCAGCCUCCUGAGUGGUGGGGAUUAUAGGCAAAUGCCACCAUACCAGGCUAACUCGGAUUUGCAACCUUGUUUGUCAUGGCUGCCUUUUUGGGAAGGUCAAACGAUGCUUGAAACAGAAGUGGUCCUGAAUUAUACCAGGACAAGAGGCAAGGGCUGUGGCAGUCCUUGCCAACCAAGGUGUGUGUGGCUCUGCUUUCCCUUUUCAUAAUUGUGUUUUCUCAGACUUGAUCAAUUUAAGGAAAGCCAAAUGCUCCUUAAGGAAUGAAAAAGGCCACCUUCUUGUCUAUGUCCCCAACAUCUCUUUUGUGCUUGGCAUGGUACAUAACUUAUGGAUCAUUACAGUGCAAUUAUUAAACUCAUGUGAUCCUCUCUUAUCCCUGUUUUUCAAUGUAUCUGAGGGGUAUGCCAUCCCCCGUACUCACAGGGGGGGCAUAGCUAACUCCUUUUUCUCUUUGCAUCAUAGAAAUGGAUAAAGAACUAAAUGAUCCCAAACAUUUCUACUUAUGGAAAAUACUGUUGCUUAAUGAAGAAAUGACAUUUUGGCGAACAGAAAGGCAAAAAUAUUUAUGUAUUUUAAAAGAUUGGUAUCCGUAGAAAGAUCUUUAAACAACAACACUUAAAGCCAGGGUGGCCUUUUCGGAAUACCUAUUUUAUGAAAUAUAGGUGGGCACUACAAUAUAUCAUUACUAGCUCAUUUCAUGUGUUCUUGGAUUUUGUCUACCUACAUGUCUCUAGCUGGUCUUUCAGAGAGACACAACCUUCAGGUUUCAAGAACCACUGAGUUGCACUGUCACCUUUCAAGCCAGUGAUUCUCAAACCUUCCUAGCGUUGGGACCCUUUAAUAUAGUUCCUCAUGUUGUGAUAACCUCCAAUCAUAAAAUUAUUUUGUUGCUACUUCAUAACUGUAAUUUUGCUACUUUUAUGAAUAAUAAUAUAAAUAUCUGAUAUGAGGAUAUCUGAUAUGUGACUCCUCCGGGGGUUGCAGCCCACAGGUCAAGAACCAUUGUUAAAGCUAACUGGUAAAAGAGAUCUGCCUUGGAUUGCAUUUUCUGGGGCCCGCUCUGUCCUCAGGAUUAGUCACAAGGAUUUGUAAUGGGUCCAGUUCAGUGUCAGGGUGUGCUUUCAGAUGGUCACUCCAACAAUGUCUUCCUUCAAGAGCACUGUGUACUGGAAUUCCUGAACUUCCCUGCACAGUUGCUGCUAAGAGUGAAGAUCAAAGAAGCUUCUUUGAUCAAGCAGAGUCACAAGCAUAUGCCUCUCAGACACAUUUGAAGACCAAUGUAAGAGACUAAUGAGUUGUGCUUACUCUAGGCUCAUCCCUCUUUUGUUUCCUGCUGGGCACUGUGGGCAUCGGGAACCCACGUCUAAUGAGCCAUAGAUGGAUGCACUGCAGCUCUGAGAUAAAGGUACAAGUGCAAACCAAGGCCCCUAGGACAAAUAACACCUGCAUCAGAAAAGCAGGUCAUCCCAUAAUGUGGGAUGUUGUCACGGUUCCCUACCUUCUCCGCACUAUUUUCCUUUGGUGGAAACGCUUUUCCUAUCAGUCAUUCUAAAGCACCGUCCCCUCAUCCCCUUCAUCCAAGGACAUUGUGUCCCUCCUUGUCAUGUGAUGUUGGUUGUCCCAUUCAGAACUCAUGAAGUGGAAAGCAAAGCAUAGGAUGUUACUGAGAUACAGUUCUAUCUUUUAAGGUUCUACAAGGACCAAUCAUUCUAUUAAAGCAAUGAUAUGGAAAAUUGUGGUCAUAAAAGGAAAAAGAGUUGUAUUUACAUUAUGCUGACUAAUAUUUUUAAUAUAAACAGGAUAUAUUUUAGAAUAGAAACUACUUGGCAUUCAGAUUAUUAACUCAAGAGGAAAAAAAUGCAUGAACUGUGGCAUAUUGACAGGAGACUAAUUUCCUGUAAGGGGGAGAGUAGCCUGGAAUGAUCUAGAAAGCAUGGGAGGGAAAUGCCCAGCUCGACUGUAAUGCAAAGCGAAAGAACAUAUGUGAAGCGGACAGCGAUGUGUUCUUGACUAACUCAGCAGAGCAACUCUCAAGCAGGACAGUGAAAUUUUAGUGACACACAUGUGUUAGUGCCAAGUGAACAUUAGCGUCUACAAAACACACUUUUUUUCUUGUUAGAAAUGACCCAAUACGUAGACAUUUUGUGUUGUUUGUUGUGACAGCAGCUCUUUCCACAUACUCUGAGUGUAGAUGCACUUCUCUGAGCCCAAGGGUCGGAGUUAAGGUGAAACCUGAGUGUAAUCCUGAUAUUUCCAUGAGCAGAGUUGGAAAUUCAUAGUUCAGUAUCCUUCUCUUGCCCAUCGAUCCUUUCCUUAGUGCCAGGAGGCCACUAAGGCAUUGCUUUCUCAGGCCUGGAUUAUCUGAGUGAUUGUUUUCUAGUGUCCAUGUUUCCAGGAUAGACACUGGCCUGACUGAUAUCAAUAACACUUUAAAAUCCUCACAUCUGCAGAGUGACGUGAAAGGGAAAGAAAAAGCUGCACCUCCAUUGGUUGUGUUUGUUAUAUAGUUCACAUUUUAAAAAUACAAUACAAAAUUUAAAAGUUGCUCAGAUAUUCCAUCAUAUACACAUCAUCAAUUAGAGAUGGAUUAUUUACUUAUAUUUAACUUUUUUUCACUUGAUUUCAUACAUUUGCUAGGCCACCAAGGUUCACAAAAGACACAACUUAUUUUCAAAUUGUUUUUAACUUAAUUCAAAACUGAAAAGAAAUAGUCUCUCUUUCUCAGGCUUAAACUCUGUAAGGAUGAGAUCUAUGUGCUGUCUAUUUAUAAUAAAUAUUGAAACUUUACUCCAUUGCUUACAGUGCAGUGGGAUUCACUCAAUGAUAUCAGCCACAUUCAGUGCCAGCCCUUCAAAAGGAAUCUCUUCCAUCUCCCUAGAAAGAUCUCUAUAGGAAAACUUGUUUGCUAAAUGACUGAAGCUCCCUUACCAAAUAAAACACCACAGUGUUUGUUGCUCUUUUUCUCUGAAGUGAUGACAAAUUGCCGAGGAGUGAAAGCCUUCAGACUAAUAACAGAGGAAAAUUGACUCUAAGAUCCCAUCAUUUUGUUUACCAGCUGUCUUUACAAUUCUAUAAUAACCCAGCCCACGUUUUAAAAAAUGUUCAGAGAUAGUAAAAUAGACCAGAAACAAACGAUCUCUCUGCUGGAAUUAGUUUACGCAUGGGAACAGGCUGGAAAGAAAAAUAUGAUUCAGAAACUUACCUAGCUCUCAGGCAUGAGACCCGGUGACCACAUACUCGGGGCUGAAGCACAACUCAGGAGCAUUACAUCAUCGUGACAAACUUUCAUUGGCUGCAGAAACCCCAAGGAUAACACAGGCUUGUAAGGUGCUGUGUGAAAGCCCCCGUUGGCUUUCUUUAUCAAGGUUACAGCUAAAAUACUGAGAGCUAGACUUUACCUUCCUUAAGCCUGUCCUGGCCAAACUGACAAGACAUUGUUAACCAUUUCUGAACAUGUUUAUCUUCACUUUAGUUAUUAGUUUUAUAUUUAACUCUAACCUAUGAGGACAUUUUUUUUCUUGUUAAAAUUUUCCUUUAAAAAUGGUUUUGACAUUAGCUUGUUUUUAAGGUUUGUGACAUCAUUCUGUAUGAAUGGCAGAGGCCCCUAAUUAGUCUUGAGGCCAUCUUUAUUAUUUUAAAUACCUUAUUUAAUUAAUGAAUCCAUUUCCUCUAAUUGACUUAGUUUGUCCUUAUUUUUCUCUAAGAGGAGGGACAGGUACCCCCCCACACAUUUAUUUAUAGAAAUCUGAAUGGAAGUAGUACACGCAGUCCUCACUUCCGAAUCAUUCAUUUUCACUGUCAGAUUUUUUUUCCCCUUGUAUUGAACUGUAGAAGUUAUUUAUUUCCUGCUAUUAAAAUGGUGAUUUAAAAACUGAA